rnacentral:rRNA from 1 species
CCUACGGGAGGCAGCAGUGGGGAAUCUUGCGCAAUGGGCGAAAGCCUGACGCAGCAACGCCGCGUGCGGGAAGAAGGCUUUCGGGCUGUAAACCGCUUUCAGCAGGAACGAAAAUGACGGUACCUGCAGAAGAAGGAGCGGCCAACUAUGUGCCAGCAGCCGCGGUGAUACAUAGGCUUCAAGCGUUGUCCGGAUUUAUUGGGCGUAAAGAGUUCGUAGGCGGUCAAGUAAGUCGGGUGUGAAAAUUCUGGGCUCAACCCAGAGACGCCACCCGAUACUGCUUAACUUGAGUUCGAUAGGGGAGUGGGGAAUUCCUAGUGUAGCGGUGAAAUGCGCAGAUAUUAGGAGGAACACCGGUGGCGAAGGCGCCACUCUGGAUCGAUACUGACGCUGAGGAACGAAAGCAUGGGUAGCAAACAGGAUUAGAUACCCUGGUAGUCCAUGCCGUAAACGGUGGGCACUAGGUGUGGGUUUCUAUUAACGAAAUCCGCGCCGUCGCUAACGCAUUAAGUGCCCCGCCUGGGGAGUCGGUCGCAAGCUAAAACUUAAGGAAUUGACGGCUGAGACGNGCGAGACGACGACGAGGAGUAGG